rnacentral:lncRNA from 1 species
GGGUUUGAACGUCGCUGUCGUACUUUCGCCUAUCUUUAAAUUGUAAAUUAAACAAUUAUAGUUUCAAAUACAGAGUAAUCAAAUUAAUUUAAUCGUACAUCUUAUACCAAUCACAUUUACAAAGAAGUCUUGAUAAACAAACAAAGGUAAGUUUUUACGGCUUGUGAUGCAUUGAUAAUUAAUCCAUGAAAGUGUUGAUCCGUGUACAAAC